rnacentral:lncRNA from 1 species
UUGAUUGAUCUACAGUUUGAUAUAAAAUUUAUUAUCUAUUGUUUGAUUUCGGUGUAAAGAAUGUAAAUAAGGUUAUUAUAAACAAUCAAAUAUUGGUAAUAGUCGUUUAUAAAUAGUGAUACAUUGAAGUAUAAGUUUUGGCAAUGGCAUAUUCUAUCGGCACAAAAGCGUCAGAUUGGCGAAUUGAGGAUAUUACUGGUUGGAAAAACUGGCGUUGGUAAGAGUUCAACGGGCAAUACGUUACUUGGCAAACAAGCGUUCCGAACUUCUAGGUCAGUUGACCUCGGUAACUAAGGAAACACAGUGUACAGAGGCCGGUUCGAUUUGGUCGCCGGUUAACUAUAGUUGACUACGCCCGGGUUUUACGACACGGGAUCAAGUAAUACGGAAAUAGUGCGUGAAAUUGUUAGAAUAUUUGGCUUCUUGAGUCCUGGAAUACAUGUUCUUAUGUAUAUAAUGGGUGUUGAGAGAUUUACAGAAGAGUGCAUUAAAACAAAAGAUUUGGUACUUAAAACAUUUGGCGAGGGUAUAAAGACGAGAAUAAUCAUUGUUAUAACACAUUUCGACGAUCUUGAGGCCGAACAUGUUGAUACAAAGAAGUAUCUGGCUUCUAGUGGAAAAGGAAUUCUUGCAGUUUCAAAAUAUGUGCAACAACAGAGUAUUCUUUAUCAAUAACAAAGCUAAAUCGGAUGUUCUCGAACAACAGGUUAUAUCUCUGAUAAAAAUAGCCGAUGACGUCACGAGACAGCAUGGCGGAAGGUGUUACACAAAUGAACAUUUGAAGCUUGUAAGAGCAUACUUCAGACUGGAGAGGAAAAGAAAGAAAAUAAAUCUAUCUCGAGCAAGGCGAAUGCUCUUCGACAGGGCGUCAAGUGAAACUUGGAUUACAGAAAGUUGUCGCAUGGGACGAAGACAAGAAAAAACCGAUUCCUCUAAGAUUUCCAAAAGGAGGUUCUGCUUAUUCUGUUUUACCGGAUAUUCCAAGAAACAUUCCGACAGUAGAUAAAUCGAAAGUAGAGAGAAGUGGAAAAGUAAAGAUUAAAGCAGUACCAAUUAGACAAACAUCAGUGGCUACCAUGAAAGACCAUAAAGAACCUGCAAAAGUAAAUAUUCAAACCGUACAUCCAUCUAAAUGUUAUGACAGUGCAAAAGAUAAAGAUGAGAAGAAAGAAGGAAAAAAAGAAAAAGGGCAUGCGCCUGAUUUAACAACUGAUAUUGAAACACAAAUGGUUAUUGAGUGUAUAGAAGACGAGCAUGAAGUCGGUUCAGAAGAAGCUGAGAGUUCGGAUACGGAAAAUAACACAAUCGAUCGACAGAAAGUACAGGAUAAAUCUUUCUUCGACAAAUUUGCUGAAUUUUUUGUCUCUUUGUUUAGUCCUUUGCUGGAUUGAAAUGUGAUAAUUUCGUGGAUAGAAUAUAUAUUUGUAUCAUUUAUUUAAUUAAGCAAAUGGAUCCUAUUUAUCAGGUAUUCAAUUGGCACUAUCAUCAGUUUAGUUAUUGUAUAGGUAGAAGUAAACGAGAGAGUAAAUGCUACUCUAAUUAAUCGGGUGGUGUUGAUAGUGCACUUGAGAAUGAUCUAUGUCUAACACAAACUGAGGUUUCAAUUACCAGCAAAAAGCCAGUGAUAAGAGUGUUACUACUUUGUGGUUGAGUGUAAUCCGUUCUUCAACUUAUACAAAUGAAAUCAUUAAGAAGUACUAUCAUACUUUCGUCUAAUUACUCAGUACAAAAUCGUCAUUGCAGUAAACCAUAAGUUGCUCUAAAAGACCUAAAGUCUUGAAUUAGAGUGAUAUAGAAUAGAGAAUUAGAUUAAGACAUGAUUCUAACUUCGAUUCUUAUAUGGAUUUUAUGUCAAAAGAUGAAUGUAACAGGGAAGCACUAUUUCAUGUCUCAUGCAUGGUGCCAAAUAUAGUAGACGUGACGUAACCGUUUUGUAACCAUAUUCACAAGAAGUAACACAUCCCGCGGAAUAAUUGAUUGCGGCCUGGAGGCCGCGAUCAUAUUGAAUAGGUGAAGUAUAUGCGCGCUAGGGAAAAUAUUUCAUGAUGGACCUGUGAAUUCUUUACUUAUGGGUGAAACAGGUCUCAUAAACGUAAAUACGACUAGCU